AACGAACGCUGGCGGCAUGCCUAACACAUGCAAGUCGAACGAAGCCUUCGGGCUUAGUGGCGCACGGGUGCGUAACGCGUGGGAAUCUGCCCCUUGCUUCGGAAUAACAGUUAGAAAUGACUGCUAAUACCGGAUGAAGUCUUCGGACCAAAGAUUUAUCGGCAAGGGAUGAGCCCGCGUAGGAUUAGGUAGUUGGUGGGGUAAAGGCCUACCAAGCCGACGAUCCUUAGCUGGUCUGAGAGGAUGAUCAGCCACACUGGGACUGAGACACGGCCCAGACUCCUACGGGAGGCAGCAGUGGGGGAUAUUGGACAAUGGACGCAAGUCUGAUCCAGCAAUGCCGCGUGAGUGAUGAAGGCCUUAGGGUUGUAAAGCUCUUUUACCAGGGAUGAUAAUGACAGUACCUGGAGAAUAAGCUCCGGCUAACUCCGUG
rnacentral:rRNA from 1 species